CAGUCGCCGCGGGAAUACGUAGGUGGCAAGCGUUGUCCGGAAUUAUUGGGCGUAAAGGGCUCGCAGGCGGUUUCUCAAGUCUGAUGUGAAAGCCCCCGGCUCAACCGGGGAGGGUCAUUGGAAACUGGGAAACUUGAGUGCAGAAGAGGAGAGUGGAAUUCCACGUGUAGCGGUGAAAUGCGUAGAGAUGUGGAGGAACACCAGUGGCGAAGGCGACUCUCUGGUCCGUAACUGACGCUGAGGAGCGAAAGCGUGGGGAGCGAACAGGAUUAGAUACCCCCGUAGUCCCUGUCUCUUAUAC
rnacentral:rRNA from 1 species